CCCGGCAGAUGCAGAAAGAGAGAGAGAGAGAGAGUGAGCUGCUGUCUCUCGCCUUGGCUUCCCAAGGAGGCGUGUACCUUCUGAAUCCAGGGCACAGGCAGUGCCUCUCAGGCUGAGAAGCCAUUUAAAUCCAGAGGGAGAAAGAAAGAUGUCAAACUCAGCCAGGGAACAAGAACCCCCAUUAUUAGGCAGGCCUACACCCACUGCUUCGCCCUUCCUGUCACAGUCAUCCCUGGAGGGAUGUUCUUGGGGAAUUGGGCCCUCGGUGGGCAGACAAACCCCAUGAGCUUUAUAAAGAUUCUUGCUUAAAUUUAUUUCCACAGAGAACGGCUUCUUUGGAUCCCCAAAGGCAGAUGGAACAGCUCUUUCACACCCAGCCCUACCCUUGGCAACCCCCCCACCCCCGUAUCUCUGGCACUGCUCCCCAGUAAAAUAUUAACUAGUGUUUCCGAACUGCUUUUAAUUCUAGCAUUUCAAUAGUAUUAGGCGGUCUUUGCCUCUUUCCUCUGUAAAGCUGCCUUUGUAGUCGUCUGUAGCCUGAGAAAGAAAAGGCAAAUCCAAAAGGAUCUUAAAAUGUCCGUGCUGGCUUGCUUCUUUAAAAAAAAAAAAGGCAAGGUGCUUAAUUAGCAAGGUUUUUUUUUUUAAACAGUAAGCUGGAACAACAGACGCUAAAUAAACACCAUUCUUUAGAGGCUGGAGAAAGCUUCCAGAGGUGAGGCAGCCAUAUGCCAGGAGGUAAACCGAUGGCCCAAUAAAGUCUCCCCUUCUCCUCCUAAAAGUAGGGCUUGUGGGCUUUCGCAUCCCACCCCAUUCGUUGCCACAAAGAAAACGAUGGAGCUGAUGGCCUGUUCGCCCUGCCCCCGCACCCCCCCCACAUGGACGACAGAUGCCCACCGCGUGGGACAGAGAGAAUGGGAGUGGGGGCAGAAUCUCACUGAAGGAAGACAGAGCGUCUCCAUGAUAAAGCUGGCCUCUAAGGAGAGCAAAGGGCUGACCCCAGCCCCUUCCCCAGGCACGUUCCAGGAUGAGGCCUGGCCCCGCUGACAUGGCCCACAGCCAGGCCCGCGGCAGGAGCGGCGGCAGGAGCAAAGCUGUGUCUCGAGAUAGUCUGUUCAGCUGACGAGGAAAAUUAGCGCCCUUGGAGUUAUCUGCCUCUAGCGAGCAGCAGGCCGCUCUGUCCGUUAUGUGAAACGGACAGGAUUGAAGCAGGGAAGUGUCUUAAAUAUCUUGUUUUGUUCCCUUUUGGCCAAUUGGAACCAAGGCCAACUUCGGCCGCAGUGACACAAGGGCUCACCUUCAGAGCAUGGAGCUGACAGAGUCAGGUUACAGCCUCCAACAGGCAAUUAGGACUCGGCCCUCCCUUGGAGAAGAGGUGUCCUCUAGAAGGUUUCUUUGUUUUGUUUUGUUCCUUCUUUCUAGGAAGGACUGGCAGGAUGAGGCUAAUGGAGCGGGGAGGGAAGGGCAGGUGGAAAGGGGAGGGGGGUGGUUCUGGACCCUCUUCAGGCAGAUGGCAGUGGUGAGGCUGGGGAAAGACAUAAGGAAUGCAGAAAAAUGAAAAUCAGAAGGAAGAAGAUUCAGGACUUCCCCUGACCGUUCUUUUUACUUCCUAACAAUCAUCAUUAUGG